rnacentral:lncRNA from 1 species
AUACAUCUAAUAAUCAGAUCUCGACGAAGAGGGAGGGAAAACUGGGAGCAGGAGAGGGGGGAGGGCUCAGCAUCGUCGGAGAGAUCGAAUCUUGACGGAGAGAUCUUGACGGAGAGAGAGAGCGAGAGACUGAGAGACAAAGUGAGGGAGAGAGGGAGAUUGAAAGACAGAGAGAGGGAGAGGAUCUCCUCCGUCCAUGGCCGUGGUGUCGGGGUUCGGCUGUCGGUGAGCGGAUCUCGCGAUGGAGAGGGAGAGAUAGGGUGCCCAGAGGGGAGGGAGAGGCGCUGUCGAGGAGACUGAGA